rnacentral:rRNA from 1 species
UACGUAGGGUGCGAGCGUUAAUCGGAAUUACUGGGCGUAAAGCGUGCGCAGGCGGUUCGUUAAGUCAGAUGUGAAAGCCCCGGGCUCAACCUGGGAACGGCAUUUGAAACUGGCGGGCUGGAGUGUGGCAGAGGGGGGUGGAAUUCCGCGUGUAGCAGUGAAAUGCGUAGAGAUGCGGAGGAACACCGAUGGCGAAGGCAGCCCCCUGGGCCAACACUGACGCUCAGGCACGAAAGCGUGGGGAGCAAACAGG